UUCUGGAAAUAGUAAUAAUGAUAAUGGUGAUCCCCACAUAGAUUUGAUUUGGUUUUAUAUUGUGAUCACAAUUAAUUUGAAAUAAAAAUAAAGAACUCAAUUUUUAAUGGAUUUCCAAGCAAGCAAUGUUUGAUACAAUAUUUUGUUUGGCUAGAAAUUUGAAGUUUCCUCGUAAUGCGUUACUGUUUUAUUUGGUUAAUCUAUAAACAUGUACAUGGUGAUGUGAACUUCAAAGAAUUUAAAGAGUUGCUCUUGAUUUGCCUAUCUAGCCAAACACCUCCCAUGGAAGACAGUGUACUUGAACAAAACUCUCAAAGAAACAGGAGCGAGAGAGUGAUAAAUCUGAUGAUCAAUCGUCAUCCCUACCCAAAGAAAAGGGAUGGCGACCUAAUUAUUUCUAUCUUUACCAAGGCUUUUGGCGCACCCCAAACGAGAUUCGUUCCAUAGUUUCAUUUCAAAAGCAUUUUCAAGCAGAGCACACAGAUAUCAUACUCAUCACCAUGCCUAAAUCAAGCACCACUUGGUUGAAGGCCUUGGCAUUUGCCAUCGUCAACCGUGCAAGGUACACACCCUCACAAAGCCCAUAGCAUUCCUUCAAUCCUCAUGAGCUUGUACCUUUCUUUGAGCAAAAGCUUUAUGCAAAUAACCAAAUUCCUGACCUGUCUACGUUUCCGUCUCCUAGGAUAUUUGCAACUCACAUACCAUAUCCAUCGUUGCCAGAAUCCAUCAAGAACUCCAAUUUCCUAAGAGUUUAUUUAUCUCAAGACCUCUUCGACACUUUCGUGUCUUACUGGCAUUUCGCCAACAAAGCAAGACCUGCAAGUCUUGAACCACUUCCACUGAAUGAUUGUUUUGAUAAGUUCUGCCGGGGGGUUCUAGCGUAUGGUCCCUUUUUUGACCACGUGAAAGGAUACUAAAAGGAAAGUUUAAAGAGAUCGGACAAGGUGUUAUUUCUGAAGUAUGAGGACUUGAAGGAGGGCAUAAAUUCUCAGGUGAAAAAGUUGGCCAAGUUCUCGGGUUUCCCGUGUUCUUUGGAUGAAGAGAGAUGAAGUGGUAGAAGUGAUAUCCAACUUAUGUAGCUUCAGCAAUUUGAAGGAUAUGGAGGCAAACAAGAACGGUAAAUCUUUCUUAAACUUUGAGAAUAAGACCUUAUUCAGAAGAGGUGAGGUAGGGGGUUGGGUCGAUCUUCUUACCCCAGCAAUGGUGAAACGUCUAAACAAGACCAUGGAACAAAAGCUGGCUGGUUCUUCUCUGGUGUUCAAGAAUAGUGCAGUGUAGAAUACAGAACAAUGAGUGGCAUAGCAUAUAUUCAAAUGGCUUCCUCCCUCGUGUUCUGUUCAGCAUCUUGCUUGGUGUAUUUAUGGUGUUUUCUGGCAGACAAGACAAUGUCGUUGUAUUCCCUGAACAGAAUAAACAGUAUGACAGUAUCAAAUCCACUUUUCCUUAUUCAACCCUCCUUCUUAGAGCACAUGAAAGCAUGUCAUAUUGGGUACAACUAACUUUGAAGUUCCAAGCCAUUUGAAGUCGCAAUUUCCUUACCUACAGGGUGCAAACUCAUUUGUGCAUUUGAAAAGCAACCUUCAGAUCUCUUCACUCCAAUCAAAGGAGGUAGAAGACUUUGGCGCCUUAAUUGUUGGAGUAUCGUCCCUUUCUUUGAAAGGAAGAAGCUUACCAAAAUGUAAGCUCUUUGCUAUCCAGCUGGCUGGCAUCAUAGGUAUUUUCCUCUCUAAGGCACAGUGCUUCAAGUGGCGCGAUGCUCUACACUCAUCCUCAGCAACAAUAGCUCCCACAGAUAUCUUUUCAGCUUCAAGACUUAGAAACAACCUUUGAAGAGUUUUGAACACCUGCCCGCCUCCAUGCUUGAUUAUUGUUGCCAAUUUGGUGCAGAAACUGUGCUUCCCAUGGAGCAUGAUCCCUACUCUGUGAAAAAUACGACUGCUAUCAUCAAGAUAAUCUGACGUCCCAAUUUUUUUAUACUGCGAACCAGCCUGAUUGGGUAGAACCAUGUAUUUUUCAGGAAGUACAAGUGAACCUGCAGCAAUUGAAUCAGCAAGCCACUUUACUUUCAGAAUGGGAGCAUUAACUGCACAACCGUACAAGAACUUGGUAGUUUGUAACUGGAAGAAAAUAUCAACAGUAAUGACAUAAAUAAUUGUAUUCUUAAUAAGAAAAACAUAGCAAUUUGCAAAGUAGCAAUGACAGACAUUAAGUAAAAAGUUGAAGGUGGCAUAUUUAACAGAUAACACAGUGAAACAUGAAAAGAUACUACGUAGCUAAAACCAAUUCCCAAAUUUCCAAGAACGUAUUCUAAUUUUUAACUGAGCAAAGUAGUUUAAUAGAUUGAUGAUCAAGAAUUAAAAGAUUGGGUAAAUAUUUGCAAAACUUUCUACUUCAGCACCGAUUUGAGUAUAUAACAUGGCCCUAGGAGUGUAAAUGAGUAAAGCUACUCAUGAGCUCCUCAAACUUGGCUUGCCAAAUAUUCCAGUAGGACUUGGUUUUAAUCAAUUCAAGCUGAAUUCCAAGUACUACAAUGCUCUUUAAGUGGCUCACAAGCCUAAUUAAUUAAGUUGAAAAUAAAAAUUCAGUUGAAAACAACCUUCUUUGAACAUAUAACAAUAGGAAGCUUUUGGAAAUUAGAUUUUGCCCUUCUCUUGGCCCCAGAAUUUAAAGGAGGAGAUGGGACGUCCAAGAGAACCAUGCCACCAUAUUCUUGUAUUAGUCUGACAAUUUCUCUUUCCUUUCGACUAGAAAAUCCUGUAAGCAAGAACUCUAGACCAUGAAAUAUCAAUAUUUUCACAUCAUUUAUGUGACUUCUGAAACAACUUUUCACAUCUUGAGUCCAAGAGUCAGGCCGCAACUUCGAAUAUUUUGACCUUUUAUUAGCUCUGACAGCAAAACAAUUUCUAUGUGAACUUUUUGGCUUUUGGACAUCCUUAUCCUGCUGAAGCUCAAUUUCAAACUCUGAGAAACAAACUCGCUUCCUAACCAAAUUUGGAGCAUUAGGGGGAUUUUGCAACUUAGAUUUUAUCUUUUGAUAAUUUGUUCUCUGAAUAGCCUUUGCUUACAGUUCCUUGUGCUAAUCUGUUCAGGGCUUCUCUCUCAGAUAAAUUUUUAUCAAGAAAUUCAGAUGGCAGCAAGUCCUUCAGUUUAGAAUAAGAGGCAACCUCCUUUGUACUAAACGCUGAAGUUGGAGAUCAGCCCCAUCUUUGCAGGUUCAUCAUGAUCUGCAACUGGACUCCUGAUAACUGAUAACAGUGGUGUCCAGAUUUUGCUCAUGAUCUGUACCAACAGUACACUCAAAUUCAGACCUGGGAGGCAAGAACCAUUUAGAACUCUUCUGAUCAUUAGAACUAAUACAAUGCACAAACUGAUAUUACAAACAUUCAACACGUUCUGAUGAUAACUGUUGAUUCUGAAAAGGUUUCUGCCCCUUAAAAAUGGUAUUAUGUUUUGGUGAAAAUGCGUUGCAAGUCCUAACUCCUAAGAAAGGCCAACUGCCUUUGAACUGGGGCCUCAAAACACUCUCCAGUCAUUAUGGGUAUAGCUUCCCUAUCCACAUAGAUAGAUUCAAUAUUUAGAUCUGACAUCCCCUAAAAAUUCCCCACGACACACUCUGGAAAUUCUCCAUCCUAUGUCCUAAUUUGGUGCUGAAGCAGUUUUGAGCAUCAUUUUCUCUAUCAUCUUUAUUAUGAGCUAAAAGAGAACUUGCAUUCUGUGAAGAGAUGCUGCAAGGAACAACAGAACAAAGAGAAGCUAUCUUGGACCCUGUUUCAAGUUUCUGCGCAUAAGAAUUCUCAUCAGCAGCAAGCAACAUCUGCAGCUUCAGAGAGAAAGCUUGUCUCACCAUCAAAAGAUUAUGAUAUGCCUUUAGUUUUGUUCUUCUUCAACUUUGCAGAAGCAUUUGCUUCCUACACUAAGUAAUUGUAGAUGUACGAAUUGAGACAGCCCCAAUCGGUAUCCAUCAGCAGUUUAUCUUUCUCCCUUCUCUUAUAAGUAGCUUCCUAGUCCUCAUCAGGGUGAAAUGUACAUAUUAAAAGACAUGCUACAUGAAAAGAGAUGACAGGGAGAUUCAAAGCAAACUGGGAGAACUUCGGCUGUCCUUCACUGUCCAACCACCCAAACAGCGGCUUCUGAAUCCAUCUGCAACUAAAGAACAUUCUCUGUCUUCUAAUGAAGGAAAAAAGGGAAAAAGGAGAACUUCGGCACGGAUACUGAUACUGCCCACCCCAAAAUCGAGUCAAACUGAAUUAGAAUUCAACCUGACAAUUAAAAUGUGCACUUAAUCUAAGAGUCAG
rnacentral:misc_RNA from 1 species